GUAGUACUUCCUCCUUCAGAAUUAUUUGUCAUAGAAAUGGAUGUACUUAAAUAUAUUUUAGUUUUGGAUACAUUUUUAUUUAUUUUGAUGACAAAUAAUUUCGUACGGAGGAAGUAUAUA
rnacentral:pre_miRNA from 1 species